rnacentral:rRNA from 1 species
UGGGGAAUCUUCCGCAAUGGACGAAAGUCUGACGGAGCAACGCCGCGUGUAUGAUGAAGGUCUUCGGAUUGUAAAGUACUGUCAUUGGGGAAGAACGGUUUUCUUGAAAAGAUUGAGAAGACAUGACGGUACCCAAGGAGGAAGCCCCGGCUAACUACGUGCCAGCAGCCGCGGUAAUACGUAGGGGGCAAGCGUUGUCCGGAAUUAUUGGGCGUAAAGGGCGCGUAGGCGGGCCUUUAAGUCCGGUGUGAAAGAUCAGGGCUCAACCCUGAGAGUGCAUCGGAAACUGGAGGCCUUGAGGACAGGAGAGGAAAGUGGAAUUCCACGUGUAGCGGUGAAAUGCGUAGAUAUGUGGAGGAACACCAGUGGCGAAGGCGACUUUCUGGACUGUAACUGACGCUGAGGCGCGAAAGCGUGGGGAGCAAACAGGAUUAGAUACCCUGGUAGUCCACGCCGUAAACGAUGAGUGCUAGGUGUAGAGGGUAUCACCCCCUUCUGUG